AGUGAACGCUGGCGGUAGGCCUAACGCAUGCAAGUCGAACGGCAGCACAGUAAGAGCUUGCUCUUACGGGUGGCGAGUGGCGGACGGGUGAGGAAUACAUCGGAAUCUACUUUUUCGUGGGGGAUAACGUAGGGAAACUUACGCUAAUACCGCAUACGACCUACGGGUGAAAGCAGGGGAUCUUCGGACCUUGCGCGAUUGAAUGAGCCGAUGUCGGAUUAGCUAGUUGGCGGGGUAAAGGCCCACCAAGGCGACGAUCCGUAGCUGGUCUGAGAGGAUGAUCAGCCACACUGGAACUGAGACACGGUCCAGACUCCUACGGGAGGCAGCAGUGGGGAAUAUUGGACAAUGGGCGCAAACCUGAUCCAGCCAUACCGCGUGGGUGAAGAAGGCCUUCGGGUUGUAAAGCCCUUUUGUUGGGAAAGAAAAGCAGCAGGUUAAUACCCCGCUGUUCUGACGGUACCCAAAGAAUAAGCACCGGCUAACUUCGUG
rnacentral:rRNA from 1 species